rnacentral:rRNA from 1 species
GAUGAACGCUGGCGGCGUGCCUAAUACAUGCAAGUCGAGCGAACAGAUGAGGAGCUUGCUCCUCUGACGUUAGCGGCGGACGGGUGAGUAACACGUGGAUAACCUACCUAUAAGACUGGGAUAACUUCGGGAAACCGGAGCUAAUACCGGAUAAUAUAUUGAACCGCAUGGUUCAAUAGUGAAAGACGGUUUUGCUGUCACUUAUAGAUGGAUCCGCGCCGCAUUAGCUAGUUGGUAAGGUAACGGCUUACCAAGGCAACGAUGCGUAGCCGACCUGAGAGGGUGAUCGGCCACACUGGAACUGAGAUACGGUCCAGACUCCUACGGGAGGCAGCAGUAGGGAAUCUUCCGCAAUGGGCGAAAGCCUGACGGAGCAACGCCGCGUGAGUGAUGAAGGUCUUCGGAUCGUAAAACUCUGUUAUUAGGGAAGAACAAAUGUGUAAGUAACUAUGCACGUCUUGACGGUACCUAAUCAGAAAGCCACGGCUAACUACGUG